UACGUAGGGUGCGAGCGUUAAUCGGAAUUACUGGGCGUAAAGCGUGCGCAGGCGGUUCGUUAAGUCAGAUGUGAAAGCCCCGGGCUCAACCUGGGAACUGCAUUUGAAACUGGCGGGCUUGAGUGUGGCAGAGGGGGGUGGAAUUCCGCGUGUAGCGGUGAAAUGCGUAGAGAUGUGGAGGAACACCAAUGGCGAAGGCAGCCUUCUGGGCCAACACUGACGCUCAUGCACGAAAGCGUGGGGAGCAAACAGG
rnacentral:rRNA from 1 species